UUAUCCACCCACUCCCGAGCCCCACGGCCACGACCUUCCUCCUCCACUGACCACCGCCGCCGCGCACCCCGUCUCCUGACGACGCCAACUCGUCGUCGCCGACCUGCUCGUCGUGGUUGCCCAUCGCUACCCCAGCAGUCCUCGCGUCUUCCCCGCCACCAUGAGUCACCACGGGAAGCAGUCCCCGACCUUCGGCGGCGCUGCGACUCAUCUUCUGCCACGGGCACACGCCUUUCCGCCGUUUAGCGCCGCUCCCCUCGACUACUGCCUCCCCCGCCGAUUCGGCAACGCGGCCAGGUGCCUUGCCCCCGCUGCACAAGACUCCCAAUGGGGCUUGGACGAGCUCAUGGCAGCUCCGCACGGCUGUGAAUCCUCACAUGCAGGUAAUAUUCCCCUUCCUUUUCUCCACUGAUCUAUCUCUCCCCCCAAACACCCUCCCUGAUCUCUCCCCCUCCUCUCUCUCUCUUCAUUGGUCGCCUCGAGAGGAUUCAGCCGUGAACUUGUUUGGGUUUACAAGAAUGAAAGUUAUUGGAUCUAAAUCUGGUUGGUACUAGUAAUCUGCCUUUGCUGUCAUUUUCCUACUUCAUAAAUUUACUCUGGAAAGUUCAUGUAUUUAGUAGCCUGUACUUGGGAAUUUUACUUGCAAUGUUGAUUCAACAUGGGUUUCUAUGCAAGCUGAAGUAUAAAAUGCAAAUUUUGUAGCUUAACAGUUGUAAUCUGAUCUUACCAGAUAUUGAUGGGAGCAAUCAGACUUUUGAUGUCUAUGCAGUUUAUCUAUGUUAUCGACAAUUUUUCAUUCAGUCAUCUAAUCCACCUUCACUUAUGCAUGUAUAGUCUGCUACCUUACCCAAAUAGUACUAGUACUAAAAUAUUAACAACAUUUUCAUUCUCAAAGAUUGUUAACUCAACCCCUUCUAGGUAUUUUUCCAGGAAAAAACAGUCAAAUUCAUUGUACAGAUGCAUCAUGUUUGUGAUCCUGCUAGUCAACCUCUGGUAUGAUGCUUGGAAUUUUGAUGAUUGGAGUGUUGAUAUGUACAGGAGUUUCGGCUUCUUGCUCAAGGAGCUACGGCGAUUAGGAUUAGUGGUCGGUUUGUACGGCGAUUGGGACUUUAGUUGUGGGUUUGAAUUGGAUUUUCACGGCGAGCUGUUCUAAUUUUGUCACUAUUGGUAUGGUUUAGGAUCCUAUUUUGAUCCAUCUAUUCUUGCCUACACUGCAAUUGUCUCGUUAAACAUGAUACUCGCUGUAGAGCUUCAUUACAUUAUGUACAUUUUUUCUUCAUAAAUACAUCUGUGCGGUUUCUCUGUUUUCUCGUAAGUUGCAUGCAUAUAAGUAACCAGUUGGCUAGUUAGUUGUAAUAGUUGCAUGUGAUCGCAAACAUAGUUGGAUGACGCAUAUACAUAUCUCAGUUGGCUAGCCAACUUAUGAAGUUGUACAGUGAGGGCUAACCAGUUGCACAAUCGAUAGUAUUUAGAUGGAUGCACUGUGUAAACUAUGUCCAAGCGGUAUGUAUAUUUUUUGGUUGCACACUUAUAUGUGUCCCGUUGUCAAGGGUAUACGUUCGUAUAGGAGUACAUAUCCUAGUUGGCUUAGCCACACUUAUACAGUUGCACGAGGAAGGGCUUUCUAGGUGCACGGUUGAUGGCUAAUUUAGUUUUGGCUCCGGUGCCUAAAUCAUGUUGAGACGGUGUGUAUGCUAAUUUUUUUGGUUGCACGCUCAUGUGUACCCAGUUGGACAUAUAAUGCAUCAAGUUGCACGCUUUUUGUUUUGUUUUGUAGGUGUGCUUUGGAAAAUCAUCAUGAGUUGCUAACACCAUGGCAUUUUCUAUAUCAUUUGUUUUUCUCUUUUUUUUUUCUUUUAUACAUUUGGUUGCUUUGAUUAAUUUGUUCGUUUGCUUUUUUCAUAAACCAAAAAUGGUUGUAGGAGAUGCGGCUCCUAGUGAGGGAGAGCAGACCCGGGCCUAGGGGUGUGCAGCCCGUGCGGCCGCACAGGGCCUCCAGUUCGGAGGGCCCCCAAAUUCACAGGGUGCAGGCCUAUUCUUGCACGCGUUACUGCUGGAAGUGGCCUUGAGCGGCUGCAUCAAGCCGUGCGGCUGUUAGAUCUAUGCCCUACAUGUACCCUAUAUCCUGUGCGGCCGACGGCAACUUGAUCCAGCGCCGCAGCGCCUCAUCACUGUUCGCCAAUCGAUCCAUUCAAUCAGUUCGUUGAAAGCCGGUUCCGGCCAACUUUGUAGCCAGCAUGGACAUAGCCGGGCCGAGAGAAGGUCACAUGGCCAUCGCCGGCGCUACCAGCACCACCUUCGCUGCUGCCGGUAGCUCAUCCGGCAUGUCACCUCCUGCUCAAUGGUUUUGCAGGUUGUGGGGGUUGAAGAGCUGCUGUAGAUUCAUACACAUAAUUCACAGCUACAAAGUCGCAUAUAGUACGGUGUUGAAAGAUCAAAGGAAAAAAACACAUGCAAACCAGAUUCUUGUCUAGAUGGUAGUUAUGUUUUCAUAGUACCUAUAACAUACUUUUCCUUUUCUUCUUUGUCACAUGGACACCGGCUCUUCUGCAUUGUUUGUGAAAUAAGACUAUCUAUGUGCUCUCUCGUAUAUACUUGCACAUUUUUUACGUUUUGUUUCACACACUGCUGCAAAUAUUGGCUUGUCCCAUGAUGUAGUUGCACAAAAAUCAAUUAAAAUUUCACAGGUACAAGAUCUCCCUUUUCUUUAUCUUUGUUUAUGCUCUGUUAAACUAUGGAGAAGCUAAUUUUGCAAAGCUAAAUUUGGUGAGGGCCUGAGGGGAAAAGGGAAAGUCAAGGAGGGAGGAUCUGAAUAAGAGGAGAAAAGGAUCACCACUUUUUUCACCCUUGUUGGUGCUACCUGCCCUAGCGAUGGAGAUCCAGACUUGGGAGACCAUUGUUUCAUGGGGAAGAAGGUGGGUGCAUGCAAGGACGGGGAAAAGGUUGGUGGCCAUGGAGCGUGAGUGCUUCAGAGGGAGGGAAGGGCACGUGAUGGCCUGGGGACCAUGUCCAGUGUGUGGCUUGUUGGGUUGACUCACAUCUGUUGCUACCACGGGAGAGCUUUCCUUUUUGGGAUGGGGGGACCGAAUCUUUCCUUUUUCUGACGGCCGCCCGGGAGCGCUAGCGAGCCAAUGGGCGCUCGCUAGACGCGUCCUUUAUUUUUUACUAGUAGAACCCUGUGCAUUGCCACUUGCCACGGACUCUAAAAAACUAUGCUACUCACUGAGCUACAAUAACCGAGAACAAUGCACAUCUCAGCUAGCACCUUU